rnacentral:rRNA from 1 species
CUACGGGAGGCAGCAGUAAGGAAUAUUGGUCAAUGGACGCAAGUCUGAACCAGCCAUGCCGCGUGGAGGAUGAAGGUCCUCUGGAUUGUAAACUUCUUUUAUCUGGGACGAAACACUUCUUUUCUAAGAGGCUUGACGGUACCAGAUGAAUAAGCACCGGCUAACUCCGUGCCAGCAGCCGCGGUAAUACGGAGGGUGCAAGCGUUAUCCGGAUUCACUGGGUUUAAAGGGUGCGUAGGUGGGUAUGUAAGUCAGUGGUGAAAUCCCCGAGCUUAACUUGGGAACUGCCAUUGAUACUAUAUAUCUUGAAUGCCGUAGAGGUAAGCGGAAUAUGUCAUGUAGCGGUGAAAUGCUUAGAUAUGACAUGGAACACCAAUUGCGAAGGCAGCUUACUAUGCGGUGAUUGACACUGAGGCACGAAAGCGUGGGUAGCAAACAGGAUUAGAAACCCCGGUAGUCC